rnacentral:tRNA from 1 species
AAGAGAGGUCUGGGACACAAAGAACUGCUAAUUCUUUUUAUCAUAGUUCAAAUCUAUGGCUCACUUA